UUUGCCUCCCUGGCCAACAGACACUUGUGGCACAGUAGAUGAUGUGUAGCCGUACUGUCCUCACCACUGGCUCCCUCUGCAAACUGCAAUCUCAGGUUCUCUCACCCUCUUUGUGUCAGUGGCAGGUCUGGCAGGCAGCAUUCAGCGGAGCACACUGAAAUGGCAUGGCGAAGUUAAGCGUAUGUACACAGUGACACCUCCAACAGAAUAGUUGAUCCCAUUGCAGCCAGUUCACAUUAGGUGUCGACAAACAACUUUUUACAAGUUCAUCCCUCAAAUUACACGUCCUGCGAAAAGAAACUAGAGGGCAUUCUUUUG